GAGACACCCCCCUCUAUGGAGCAGGACUUGCUUCAGUAGGGCUUUGGUGCUUACUGAGUCUGCCCCUUGAGUGUGUCGCU
rfam:Myotis lucifugus cont2.49760, whole genome shotgun sequence.